GAUGAGAAUUGUAUCUCCACGGAAAAGCUGAAGUUUCUCCAUAGUAGCAGGAUGUAAAGCGACAACGGAAUUAUCAUCGUUGACCGUUUCAUCUACAAUAAGCCUGUUCGCUGCUUUCUUCCGCUCCAAAAUCGCCGUAGAAAAAUCCUUCUUAGAAUUUUUUGAGUCAGAUGACUCAGCCUGGUGAGACAUUUUUUCGAAAUCGUUCGCGAUCU
rnacentral:misc_RNA from 1 species